rnacentral:rRNA from 1 species
GAUGAACGCUGGCGGCGUGCCUAAUACAUGCAAGUCGAGCGAACAGACGAGGAGCUUGCUCCUCUGACGUUAGCGGCGGACGGGUGAGUAACACGUGGAUAACCUACCUAUAAUACUGGGAUAACUUCGGGAAACCGGAGCUAAUACCGGAUAAUAUAUUGAACCGCAUGGUUCAAUAGUGAAAGACGGUUUUGCUGUCACUUAUAGAUGGAUCCGCGCCGCAUUAGCUAGUUGGUAAGGUAACGGCUUACCAAGGCAACGAUGCGUAGCCGACCUGAGAGGGUGGUCGGCCACAUGGGAACGUGGACACGGUCAAGACUCCUACGGUAGGCAGCAGUAGGGAAUCUGCCGCAAUAGGCGAAAGCCUGACGGAGCAACGCCGCGUGAGUGAUGAAGGUCUUCGGAUCGUAAAACUCUGUUAUUAGGGAAGAACAAAUGUGUAAGUAACUAUGCACGUCUUGACGGUACCUAAUCAGAAAGCCACGGCUAACUACGUG